CAUGCAAGUCGAACGGUAACAGAGGAGUGCUUGCACUCUUGCUGACGAGUGGCGGACGGGUGAGUAACGCGUAGGGAUCUGCCCAGCUGCGGGGGAUAGCCCGGUGAAAACCGGAUUAAUACCGCAUACGACCUUUUGGUGAAAGGGUGCCUCUCCUUGGAAGCAUUCACAGUUGGAUGACCCUGCGUCAGAUUAGCUAGUUGGUAGGGUAAUGGCCUACCAAGGCGACGAUCUGUAGCUGGUCUGAGAGGAUGAUCAGCCACACUGGGACUGAGACACGGCCCAGACUCCUACGGGAGGCAGCMHUGGGGAAUAUUGCGCAAUGGGGGCAACCCUGACGCARCAAUACCGCGUGUGUGAAGAAUGCCUGCGGRUUGUAAAGCMCUUUUCAGUAGGGCGGAAAGGUAUUUUGGUUAAUAGCKCAAUACUGUGACGUUACCCUACAGAAGAAGCACCGGGCUAACUCCGUGCCAAGCCWGCCCCCGGUAAUACSGGAUGGAGAMAACCUUUAAUCCSGAAAUUUCUGGGCGCAAAACGCGCGUWMCGGGGAAUUAUUAAGCCASAUGUGAAAGCCCCMKGGSCUCAACCCUUGGGCACGGC
rnacentral:rRNA from 1 species